rnacentral:rRNA from 1 species
UACGUAGGUGACCAGCGUUGUCCGGAUUUACUGGGCGUAAAGAGCGCGCAGGCGGUCGUUCAAGUCGAGUGUGAAAGCCCCCGGCUCAACUGGGGAGGGUCACUCGAUACUGAUCGACUUGAAGGCAGGAGAGGGAAGCGGAAUUCCCGGUGUAGUGGUGAAAUGCGUAGAUAUCGGGAGGAACACCAGUGGCGAAGGCGACUUCCUGGCCUGUUCUUGACGCUGAGGCGCGAAAGCUAAGGGGAGCAAACGGGG